GGUGAAACUGCACUAGAAGUUGGUGAACAACAGAGGGCGCCGCAAAGUCACUGUAAUAUAUUCAAACUAUGGUCAAUGACUGGAGUUAGCACUGGGCUACACUUUCAUCUAGGAAAAGAUGAAAAGAACAGAAAAAGAUGGAAAACAACAUCAAUGGAUACAAAUAACUUACAGUGAAUGGAGAGUGACUGGAGAAAAUAAAGACAGGGAGUGCUUGUUGAACUGUUGAACAGUAGUAUCCCAUCUUGUGGGUGGCUUUUGUUUAUUUACAACAAAACCCGUCCAUCCAUGACGGCUCUAAUGACAGUGAUGUGGGUGAUGCUGUGUUGCAGCCAUAAUCUGAGGCCUGAUCCCCCGCAGAGUGAGUGGUGUAGAAGAGAGACGUCGAGCUGCUGCUCUGCAUUCUGGUCACGACUCGGACGCACGCAGAUCUGUCCUGACCGGUCUGCUAUGAUUAGCUGACCACGGCACUGUGGCGUUGCUCCCCAUUAUCA